GUAACAUGCAACAUGGAGGGACCAAGUCCUCUGGCCCUGGUGUCCACUCCCUUGCCCGGUUCUCCAGCUUCCCAGAGCCUCAGUGCUUGGAUGUCAAUGGGGCUGCCGCCCAUGGCCUACUCGACCUUCAUCCACCACCGGCCCACCUGCCCACCCAUCCUAUUCAUCUAUCCCACUCUGCCAAUUUGCUGAGCAGCACCUGUGUGUUGGCCCCUCCUUGAUACACAGAGGGGCAGGUGUGCUGUGUCCCAGGUGAGUGGGGAUGGGGUAUCCAUAGGAGUGCAGCCCUGCAGGUGGUGUGGCCAAAGUGCUCUGUGCUGGACACUUUCUGGCCUGCUUCUAUCAGGCUUCCACCAGUGUUGGGGAUAUGAUGUCCUGCACUAGACCACACGUGCCCAGGCAGACCCUGGUGCUCGUGCAUGCAUUGAGAAGCUUGUGGCACUGGGGUGCUUGGAGAGCUUGGGGCUUGGCCUGAGAGCAAGAUAGCGGAGCAUUCAGACUCUGCCCCACCUCUGACCUGGGGCAGCCUUGGCCUGAACUUACCUUUUCUGGGCCUGACUCUGCCCAUUCUGGGCCCAGAUUGCUCCUCUGACAGGAAGAGUACAGACCAACUGAUCACUAGUUCCCAUCUGGCCCAGGGCUCUCCAUAUACGGUGUCCUUAGUCUCUGUGCCUGUAGCACGCUGCCCCUAAUGCAGCUCCAUCCUGUUUCCUCAGAGCAAUUUGCUGGACGUGAACCAGAUCAUCAAGGACUUGGCCUCCAUGGCGUCGGAGCAAGGAGAUGCCGCUGGUGGGUACCCACUCUACCCUCAGGCCACGUAGCCCCAGCUGGCUCUUCCCCCAGGUGUGGGCACAGCUGCCUAAAGAUGACGGAGGCCCAGAAUGGCUUCUGCCUGGCUCUCCUCCUGCUCCACCUCUACCCUGGGCCUUGCACUGACUAGGGACUCUCUGGAGUGAAGGCCAGCUGCCUGGGACAGGUGACUGCAGCAUGGCCCUGAGGAUACGGAGGGUGGGGGCCUAGAGCCCCUUAGAGUCUGGUGCUGUCUCCAGUGACUGUCAGGAGCCAUGUGUGCCUCUGGGAAAUGGGUGUGCCUGAGCUGGGUGGAACAGGGGCAGUGGCUGGGCCUGCGGGCCUGGCCAGGGCAUGGUAUCCCCCAAACCCCUCACUCCAAAGGAACUGGGCCAGCUCUGCCAAUGGGUCAAAGGUCAAAGGCCCUUGUCCCUGGAGCUGCCCUGCUUCUCAGGAGGAAAUAAGAAGCAAGGCCAAGGCCGAGGCCCAGGCCUGUCCCUUGCUGGUGAGGGUUGCUGGGGUCGUGUGGAGCAGGGAGGCUUGAGGGUCAUGUCACAGUGUCCUCACCCACUGCGAGAGAGGGGCCUUCUCUAACAGAAGGGACACAGACCAGAGAGGCCUGGUGGCAUCCGCCCAGGCCCUCUGCUACCCCAGCCCUUCUGCUCUGCCUUGCUGUGGGGUCACCUUUGACCUCCCCAGAGAGGACCUCCCUGUCUUCCUCUGUGCUCCACAAGUUCUGGCCCCAGCAACUGGCCAUUUAUAUUUGGACAAUUUUUUUCGGGGUGGGGGGGGUACCACAGAUUGAAUUUAGGGCCCUCAACUACUGAGCCACGUCCCCAGCCCUAUUUUGUAUUUUAUUUAGAGACAGGGUCUCACUGAGUUGCUUAGCGCCUCGCCGUUGCUGAGGCUGACUUAGAACUUGCCAUCCUCCUGCUUCAGCCUCAUGAGCCGCUUGGAUUACAGGUGUGCACCACUGCACCUGGCACACUGGACAAUUUUAAGUGUUCAGACCUUCCUCUCCGCUGGGCUCUGUGCCUGCCUAGUUAGGUCUAGGGCAUUUUGAACAUGAAGUGGUUACUCUGAUCACUUUCCUUCUGGACUGAGCGAGGUGCUGGCUCCAUGGGUGGCCUCCUUGCUUGUGCAGAGCCCUGGGGGCACAGGGACACUGGUGUCAUUACCCAGUGUGGUAGAGGCCCUGUGCCCACCUGAUUUGGGGCUGGGGUGCACAGGUGGGGACUUUAAGGGCUUGCUCACAUGUGGGCCAUCCUGUUGCCCCAGGGGUGCCAGCCUUCUCCGUAGCUGCGGCCACCCAGAGUUCUGGCCCCAGCUGCAAGGUGGAGACGCCCUGGCCAGGGCAAUGGUCCCCUCGGCUUGGUUGCCCUCCAGGACCCAGACUCCUGCACUUACUCAUCUGCUUCUUCCAUCCCUGACAGCCAUCCCCUCACCCGGGCCUGUGCCUCUAACGAGGAGCAAGCGCCCCGAGCUGGGUGGGCCCUGGCACCCUUCUGGAGCUCUGCUGCUCCCAGGUCGGUGGAGGCCUGAGCCAGGAGCCUAAGCCUGGCAGCUGCCCUCCCUGUUGCUCCUGGACUCACCCUGUACCCCUUCAGAGCCUGGGCUCCCAGCAGGGCCUGCUCUGGGCAUGGCACUUGCUGAGCUGCCUCGUCACUGCUCCCAGGACCCGCCCUAUCCCUCUUCCCGUCUCCUUGCCUUCUGUCUGCCUCUAAAGUGGCCACCGCCCACUGCCCCCUGGGGCUGGCUGGCUGGGCUGGAAUGUCAGAGUGUGUACAAUGGCUUGUCCACCCUAAGGCCACCCAGUCCCCGUAAUGGACCCAUGGGAGAGCUGUGGGGAGCGGAACAAGCCAGGGCUGACCUGCACAUGGGCAGGGGAGUCACCUAGAUAGCUGGCAGGCAGGAGCUUCAAGAGUCGCCAGAUCCCCAACUGGUGGGUGUGGGUCACCUGUAUGUAGGACACUGAUGUGGGGACCUGUGAGGACCAGGACCACAGGCCUGGUGGCACGCUGUCCACAGUCUCUGCCUAGUGCUCAGCCUCUGGUGCCUUUCCAGGGUCCAGCAGCAGGAAGGCCACCAGCCGGCAGACCUCCAGCCCCGAGCCAGCAGAGGCAGCCCUGCUACCAGGGGUGGGGCUGGGCACCACACCCCUGCGGCCCAGCAGCCACUCCCGCACCAAGACACGCAAACCCAACUUCAGUCCCCAGGAGACAGAGGUGCUGGUGCGGAGGGUGGCACGCCACUACCCACUGCUGUUCGGGGCACUGCGGAGCACACCUGCUCGGAAGCACCACGUGUGGAGCAGGAUCCUACAGGCUGUGAAUGCGCUGGGCUACUGCCGCCGUGACCUGGGUGACCUCAAGCACAAAUGGAGGGACCUACGAGGGGCCGUGCGCAAGAAACUGGCAGAGAGUCCGGCUCCUGGAUUCAUCCUCACACCUGUGGAACGCAUGGUGGCUGAGACCUUCUCGACCCCAGCCUCCCAGGGCAAGAGCCAGGCAACAAGUAAGUGGGCCCCUCCCCACAGCCCACCCCUGGCCUAGCCUGGCCUGGCCUGGCCUGGGCAGUGAGCUGGCUGGCUUCCGGUGCACAGCCCCCAAAGAACGAGACUCCAGGGGAGUGCUGGGGGCCUGAGGAGACGGCUCAUCCCCCUCCCGGCCCCUCGGCUCCUGGGUAGGAAACCCAAGGCCCAGGCCCAGGCAGAGGCCUGCUCAUUUGGGGAGGAGGGGUCAGGUUCAUGCUGGCCCUGAGCUCACGGUCCACUGGGACUUUCCCCAGCCUUGGCAUAGUACAGCAAGGGGACCCUCAAAUCCAUCUCAAAAACUGAAGUCACUCAAAGCCCCUGGGUCUCAUGUGGCCUGGGGGGUCAGUGCCUUUGCCACCACCACUGGCGGCAGCAGCUUGGGGAGCUUAGACCUGCUGCUGGGCUCAGGGCUCCACGGCAGCUGCCACCUUGAGCCAUGGCCACAGCAGGGAGCUGAGUGCCUCCGUCCCUUCCCUGGUAUCUAGAGAGGACACUGGGGCCCCAUGGCCCCGUUUCCCCGUCACUCUAGAGAGACAAGUUCCAGGAUGGUGAAGGCAUCCCUUAGAUAUACAGGGCCCUACUCUGUGUAUCUAAGGGAGGUGCAAAGACUGAGGUCCAGGGGCCUGGCUGAGCAGCCCAGGCCCAAAGCCCAGGCACAGUCUCCGAGGCCCCGCUCCUCUCUGCCAUGUCUGCUGCGUCUGGUGUGGUGCGGCUGGGAGGCCUCUUUGGCCCCAGGCCAUUGUCCACUCUGUCUUCUCAGGAGUGCUCAUGACAAAGGUCAGGGCAGUGACUGUCCUUAGGCCACCAAGUGUUAAUAGCAGAGGAACCAAGCAAGGCAGCAAGCUUGGGUGGCCACAGGCUUGAAGAUGUGGCUGUGGCUGGGAGGAAGGAGGCUGCCCUGCAUAGCUCCCUCCUCCUCCAAGCUGGACCAGGCCUGGAGUGAGAGUGCCCAGGGUUGAUGCCAUCAGAUGGCAAGCCACCAGCAGGUGGAGGCUGCCUGGCCGGAGCCACGUCCAGCCACUAACCUUUGCUGUGCCUUUUGGUGUCAGAGGUGGCCUCUGUGUUGGUGAAUGCUGCUGGAGAAUUUGGCCAGAGCCAGGAGGAGCCCAGGCCAGUGCCUUCCCGCCUCAGCCUGCCUUGUCCGGGCCUGGGGAGCAGGACUGCGUGCCCUCCUCAGCAGGCCCUUCAGAAUCGCUCUGGUGCUCUUGGCCUCUCAGAGCGCUUCUUCUGCUGGGCUGCUCCAGGAACCACCUUUUCCAGAAGUCUCUGUUCUUGGCUGGGCCUGUCCUGCAGCCCACACUGCCUCUGAGCCCUCCCAUGAUGCGGGCUCGGGUGCUGUCUCCACUCUGCCUCCUCUGCUGCCCUCCUCCUCACCACCCUGCCUCACAGCCAGGCCUGCUGGACUCUCCUCCUGGGAAGCUCUGGAAGGACGUGGGGAUGGAGCCAGGAGUAAGAUGAGCCUUCUCAGGGUGGGGCAGCCAGCAGGACCCCACCUCAGACGGACCAGCAGGAGGUCCUGGGGGGACUCGGAGCCGUACCUGCUCUGAUCCUUCUCUUCUGUGGUGCCUGCAGCUGGGACACGUGGGCAAGGCCAGGCCUGGCUGGGAGACGUGUAGGUCCAGGACAGGUCUCGUGCUGGGCCUCAGGAUGCACAGGUCCUGAUAGGCCUGGGGAGGCCAGGGGUAUGGGACUAUUACCAUCCCCAGGGAGGCCUCGUGCCUUCUCCUUUAAGGCAGAGGCCUGCCGCUGUGUUCCUGAGGCAGGCUUGGGUGAUUCAGGCAAGGGUGUGCCCUGUGGGGCCUGGGUGUUCAGGUACUUUCUGCAAGUCCCCGACCUGGAGGGCAGCAGGAACGCUGGAGUAUACCCUGCAUCCCCUGCCCUGGGUGAGGCCCAGCCCAGCUUCCUUCAUCCCUGAUCGAUCAGCCGCAGCCCCUAUGGCCUUGUAGCCCUGGUUCUCCUAACGGAGGAGAAGCUUCUGUGGUGCCCAGGAACCUCUUGUGAGAUGGUCUGCAUGCCUCUGAUGUUUGUUGAAUGAAAUGACUGUGUGGGAGGAGCAGACUUGCCCUGAUAGGCACUGAGGCCAGAAGCAGGGAAGUAGCUGCAGGGCCGGCAGUGGGGUGGGAGUGCCCCCCGAUCAGUGCCAGCCUGGGGAAGCAGGACUCGUCCUCUCUUCAGCAGGCCCUGUCCAAGGGUAGCCUCUGGGGCUUAGACAGGGCCGGGCCUGGGGGCCUGGGGAAGUGAGCUGCCGAGCUCAUGGAUUUCCAGUUUCUGUGCUCCGAGGCUGCUGACAGGUGCACUUGCCCAGGGGCGCCUCCGGCUCUCUGCAUUUGUCCUGAGGGGUGGUUGGUGACCAGUGCCAUCUUCUUUAGCCCCUGGAGGCCUGCACAGCCCUUGGGCUUUUCAGAGGCUGUCUGAGGUAGAGCAAGUCCCACAUGCAGCGCCCUGUGCCAGGAGACAGGAGGGUGCCCUGUGGACCUGGAGCCUUCAAGGCAAGGCUUCUGAGCUGUCAGAGAGCCACCUGGCCAUGCCCCAUACAGCCUGGGGCUUAGGCAGGGCCGGGCCUGGGGGCCUGGGGAAGUGAGCCGCAGUUUCUGUGCUCCGGGGCUGUUGACAGGUGCUCUUGCCCAGGGGCGCCUCCAGCUGUCCUUCCUGCUUCCUUCUCUGGCUGCCCUCUGAUGUGACAGGACACUUUGAGUUUGGGGCAGCUGCAGCCUGCCCAGAAGAGGAAGAGGUGUGCUGCAGCCUUGUUGCCCCUUCCCUCCCCGUGCUGGGCUGUGUCCUGGAGACCUGUCGCCCUGUAGCCUGGCCUUGACUGGGUUGGAGGGUGGAGCAAAAGUAGAGACUGGGGGCUCAGGUCUGCCUGAGGCCUAGGGGUUUCUCAAAGGUAGGGCUCCAGGGAUGAGGCCGCCUUCUCUCAUAGAGCAGCCGCCCCCGCUGGAAGGCUGGGAGUCGCCGCUCCCUCUGCAGGCCCCAUGGGGCUGGGGGCACACGCUGCAGCGGCUCAAUGGCCCUCGGCCUCCUGGGCCAUAGGUGGGCCCUUUGCAGUGGGUGUCCGCUGCCUGAUUCCCGAGGCAGGCCUUCCGACCGCUGCCCCUCCCACAAGGACUUCACGUGUCUCAGGCGAGUGCCUGCCUCUGCUGGCCUCUGGGGCCUGCCGCACUGGGUGUUGACUGCCCUCUGCCCCUGUGUGGCCUGAGUUUGCCCAGUGGAGUCAGGACAACUGGACGUGCCUUCUGCCAUGUGGUGCUACUUCUUGGCCACUGCCUGGUGUAAAAUUUGUCCCCAGGACUGGGCCCAGGCCGUGCCUUCCCAAAGCCACUGGUCCCCAGCCAGCCCCAUGCUCUUUGAAUGGCCUUGUUGGAACCCAGCCACCGUAGAGUCCCACGUUCACAGCCCUGUCCUCUCAGCGGCACUGCAGGACCUGUCCCUGAGGGGGGCCAUGGCCAGAUGGGAGGCCGCCCGAGGCAGCCGCAGGCGGCUCUGGCUUUCCUCUUCACUCUUUCCUGAGGGGCUUUCCCCUGCCGCCUCCAAAGUCUGCUUCCCCAAGGACACUUCCAGGCCCUGGUCCUUCUCUCAAGGCCGAACACUGUCCACACCAGGGUGAUCCUUGAGUGGGCCCUGAGCCGCAUCCCUGCAGCCUCUGACCCUUUAGAGGCUGGACCUCGUUUCUUGAGUGUGCAGCCCACAUGGGAAGGAGCUCAGGGGCGGAUGCACGUCCAGCCAACCUGGGCUCGGGCUCCCCUGGGGCUCGGGCUCCCCGGGGCUAGCUCAGGUGAUGUAGGCUGGUCAAAACGUGGGCCUCCACCUGGUGACCGCCUUCUGCUGUGGUGACUUGCAGAUAGUACUGCAGCAGCACGUGUGGAGGCGGCCGGGGAGCCCCGGGCUGGGCUGGGCUGCCAUACCAAGUAAGUGGGUCUGAGGGUAGGAGCGCUGGCUGGCCCAGCCUCGGUCCCUUUGUCCCUCACCCAUCUGUCUGGGAAGCCAGGCCCUGCCUGUGCCUAGAAGGGACAAGCCCAUGGUCUUCUUUGAGUCAGGCCACUGGCUUACGUGUGGGCACUGGGAGGGGGGAAGAAGGGACAGAGCCAUGGUCUGAGUGGCUCCCGCAGUGGUCAGCACCAUCUCCUCUCAUUUGGACUCCCCACCACCUUACCCCUCAGCUUCCUCACCCGCCUGGCCUACAAGGUGGUGGUUAGGUCUGUAACUGGCACAGUGGGAGCUGGCCAGUGGGGUGUGGGCAUAGCGUGGCUGUGCUUCCGGGGAGGCCGGUGCACUGUGGUCCUCACUGGCAGGCUGCCCUAGGUAGCCCUGACCCCCUUGUCCCAGGAAGGCUGGCCGGCUCUGCCUGUCUGCCCUUCCUGAGCGCUCUCCAGGCCUCACUGUGGGGUGCUAGCCUGGGGCUCUGCAGCUGCCUGGGGCUGCUGCUUGGAGGUGUGGGUGGGUUUUAGGGAGGGAGACAAACCUCCACUGUUGCACACGAGCAGGACCCAGAGCAGACUUGAGGGCCACCAUCGCCUUGUGCCCACCACCAUGAGGAGGGCCUGACCGCGCCAGGCAGGCUGGAGACCUUAGUCCAGCAGGAAGGAGGGCCAGCAGCCUUGUCCCCUGGCUCACUUGCUCACUGUGUUCCUUUGGUCCCUGCUGGCUCCUACAAGCAGAUCCUGUCCCUUGAGUUUGUGUCCCAAGGACCAGACAGGUGGGCAUUCAGUCUGGACAUGGGGGUGGUGGGGUACCCUGGGAGUUCAGAGGCCCCCCAGGUUGGCUGGGGUGGGAGGGCUCCCCGGAGAGCACACACCUGCUGCGGCUGAGCCGAGGGAAGGUCUGCUGAGUCCUGAGGACAGGCCACUGCAGCCCGCUCCAGUGAGGAUGGUCGUGUGAGGGCUGUGACGAGGGAGGGGCAGCCACAGUGCCUUGCUUUCCUGGGGGUCUGGGGAAUGCACUGUGCUUGGCAAAAGCCCUCGGUGGCCUUGGAGAGCAGGAAACGAAGAGCCUUGGUGGGGAGAAGGUAGAGGCGAGGUGGGGCUUGCUGCCCCCAGGCUGAGGCUGACCUCCACGCUGGGGUGGGUGGCUGCAGGCCUCGGCUGGCAUUCAGCAGGAAUGUGUGACGGAAUGAUGGUCAGGGCCUGGUCACAGCUGCCUUCCCCCAUUUUCCAUCAUGGCCAUCAGAUUCAAGGUCAGUGUGGCCAGCGGUGGCCCUUUGUGAUGGCUGGUGAGUGGGACUGGGGCACCUUGGGAUGGCCACUCAGGCUCCUGUCCAACCCUCAGUCCCAGCCAUCUUGUGGCAUGGACAGGUCUCCACUCAGGGCCCUUCCAGAAGCUUCCUGGGGUGGGACUUGCAGGCCAGUGCAUCAGGAGGCACACACACAGAGGACCUUGUCCUGAAUGACAAGAGGACUUGAGUGCCCAGGACCAGCUGGUCAGGAAGGAUGCACAGAUGCCUGGGGCAGCAGAGGGAGAUGUGACCAUGGGGAGGAGGAGGAGGAAGCAGGAGGGGAGGUAGCCACACCGACCAGCUCCUCCCGGUGGGUGUGGGGCCCAGAACUUCCCCCACUGUAGAUGAGGUGAGUGGACACAGCAGGUGGUCUGCCAGAAGCCACCAGCACAAUGCCCUGCCCCCAUUGGCAUGGCCCUCCCACAAGCACAUCAGGAAGGGAUGUCUGCUGGCCUGUCCAUGCCCAGAGGCCCCAGGCCUUCCCCUUUCAGGUUAGGAAUUGGCAGCCUAGAGAAGCAGGGGAGGUCCUAGUGCCCCCCAGCCGUGGAGACCAGGCCCAGCUGGUCUGGGAGCUCAAGUCCUUUGGACCCUGGGAAGCGCAGCCCCCCUUCCUUCUGAGAUGGCACUGUGGGAACUCAAGGCAGGCGGGGGGCGGGGCUGGAUAGAAAGCUCAGUGGGAAGACGGAUGGAUGGGUCAAUGAAGUGACAAAAAGUGGAUGACAGACAGUGGGUAAGUGAGGGCUGAGUGGCUGGUGAGCAGGUGGGUGGAUGGAUCCAGGCGAGGAGAAGGGUAGUGGGACUGCCUGGGUGACAGAGCAAGAUGAACAGGUGGGUGGGCAGGAGGAUGACUGUGGAGAGACAGAGGAACGGCCAGGGUGCCAGUAGAUAGAGGGACCCCUGGGUGGGCAGACGGGAAAGGCGGCGGGGGACGGGGGGGGGGGCCCGCCCGGCUGCUGCAGCAGGUGCCUUUGCCUCGCGCACCUGGCCUUCUGCAUCUCUAAAGGGCGCCGUGCUAGCUGCCGAGGGGACUGGCCCUGAACGGCUGCAGGCAGGGGGCCUCGUGUGUCUGCUGCCUCCCACCUGCUCCCCUGUCGUGCCUGGUACUGCCCACUGGUGGCCAGCCCAGACUGACCCUCCCCUGUCUCCCUCUGUUAGCCGACGAGGAAGACGAGGAUGAAACUGCCAACUGCCUGUGGCGACCCCUGAGGACCCCGGAAGGGCCCAGUCCACCUGAACCUGACCCCCUGGACUUCCGAGGAGCUCUCCGUGCAUCCACCUCCUCACCCUCCCUGCCUGCCUCCCUGGCAUCUGUGCCCCCAGGGGCCGCGGGCAUGGGUUCCUUUGGGCCCUCCCCACCUUCCUCAGCACCAGCAUCUACGCUGCCCCUGCCCUCCGGGAGGACCCUGUGCACAGCGUCUGAGGCCUCCGUGUUUGAGCAGCAGCUGCUGGACUCCCACCUGCGGCAGGGUGCCCUGCUGGCCUCCUGGUCGCAGCAGCAGGGUGCGCUGAUGGCCCAGCAGAACCUGCUGCUGCAGCGGCUGGCGGAGCAGAGCCAGCGGCUGGCUGAUGGUGUCGAGGCCCUCAGCCGGACCCUGGAGCGGCUGGUGGCAGUGCGCCCAGCCCAGGAGGGCUCACCCUCCAUCCUAGAAGGUAGCCCUGCUGCUGGAGGGGCCUGUGGACCCACCAGAGGCCCCCAGGACAGUCCCCAGGGUGCCCACCCAGGCCCAGAGGUCUUCUCGGGGCUGAUCCUGAAGGUGGAGGAAGAGCUGUAGGACUGGCCCAGGGUCCCCUUUGGCACCAGGCCAGGGAGAGGACAAGGACUGAGGAAGCCUGGAGAGGGUGUGGGGCGUCUCCCCACGGUGCCUUUCUGUCCCUGGCCUUGGGUGGGUGUGGCGACCUGCCAGUCUGGCCUCAGCACCAACCUGCUGGUCCAGGCCAGGGUCUACUCAGGACAGUGGCAGUGAGUCUGACCUCCCCCUGCCUGGAGCCCCCUGGGCCCGUGGCUGCCGUUGGCUGCGGGUCACCUCUGCAGGCCGGCACCAGUGGGGGGAGGUGGGGAAAAGACGCUCAGCCCGGGGCCUCGGAGCCCUGGGGAGUGGGGACUUGGCAGCUGCGCGGGCUCAGAGGGCCCGGGCUCGGCUCCUUGAUUCUGGUUCAGGGGAGCCCCGUCCGUGAGCCUGGAGUUAAUUCUCUUCAAUUUUAUAUCAAUGUCAUAAAUACAUAAAUGCAG
rnacentral:lncRNA from 1 species